UACCGGAUAACAACAGAUGAUGCCUAUCAACUGUUUAAAAGAUGGUUCUGCUAUCACUCUUGGAUGGGACCUGCGUGCAUUAGCUAGUUGGUAGGGGUAAACGGGCCUACCAAGGCGAUGAUGCAUAGCCGAGUUUGAGAGACUGAUCGGCCACAUUGGGACUGAGACACGGCCCAAACUCCUACGGGAGGCAGCAGUAGGGAAUCUUCCACAAUGGACGCAAGUCUGAUGGAGCAACGCCGCGUGAGUGAAGAAGGGUUUCGGCUCGUAAAGCUCUGUUGUUGGUGAAGAAGGACAGGGGGUAGUAACUGACCUUUGUUUGACGGUAAUCAAUUAGAAAGUCACGGGCUAACUACGUGCCAGCAGCCGCGGUAAAU
rnacentral:rRNA from 1 species